UUACAGGCAUGUCCCACCACGCCCAGCCUGGUGCCAUUUUAAAAAAAUGUACACAAACAUAUAUAUGUUAUAUAUGGGGUCUUCUGCUCCUACUGAGCAGAAUUACAUUAUUGGUCAAUGACUUUAUUGGUUUUAAUUCUUUAGUACCCUCCAAUAAGACUAUACGUAAAACAUACCCUGUACCAUUUAAUUUCACAUUAUUCUCCCAGCAUGGUAUAUCUCCUUAUCCCACUGAUGUUGGGCUGGGUCACACAACUUGCUUUGGCUGAUGUGAUGGAAGCACAUGUGACACAACCAGAGGCUUGCAAUGUGCCUGUGUGAUUUCAUUUAGCUUCCAUGUUUCAGCAAUCCAUCAGAAGAGCACUUUCCAGGAAGCCUUCAGCACAGGACCCAGAAAGAACCACACGGAGCAACCCACCCAGCUGACCUUCCAUCUGAAGCACAGUUGCUCAGCUGAACCUAGUCUAGAUCAGCUGAUGUAAAGCUGACCUAGACAUUUAGUUGGGGACAAAGACAGGACUAGAGAAUAGAAGCAAGAGAAAGAGUUAAGGGCUAGAAGUCCAGAUAGGAAUUCCAGGCUCCAAAGUUGUGCAAAAGCAGUGCAGGAAGCAGAGAAGAGCCAGGAGGGAAGGGGGGGGGGAGAGGAAGAGGGAGAGACAGAGACAGAGAGAGAGAGGGAGAGGGAGAGGAGGAGGGGGAGGGGGAGGGGGGUAGAUAUCUUGGGUUCUGGCAGCUCAAGCUUGCUAAACUGGGGUCUUUCCCACCAGCCAGCUUGGGUAGCCCUGUUUGUAAGAAUGCUUGAGCCGGGUAUGGCAGCGCACGCUGGUAAUCUCAGCACUCAGGAGGCUGCAGGAAUGAAUUUGAGGCCAGCCUAAAAACUACAUAGCAAGAUCCUGUCUCACAAAAAAAAAAAAAAAAAAAAAAGCUUCUUUGACCUCCAAGAGUUCAGGGGUUUUUCUCUACUGAGUUCUUCUGGGACACCUAUCUUUGUAGUUCAGGCUGUCCUUGAAUUUGCAGCGAUCCUCCUGCCUCAUCCUCCCAAAUGCUGGGAUUACAGGCGCAUGCCACCAUACCUAGCCUGGACACAUACAGUAACCUCACCUCCCCGAGGCAAGCACAAUUGAUACUUCAUUUUCUUCAGUUUUGUUUCCCUGGAGGCAGUCUUUUUAGUAGAAGAUUGUUUUGGUUUUUACCUUGAUUGGUCUUGAGGUUGUUUCCUAGCUUCUAACCCAUAAGGCUCAUCUGUAUCUAUGCCUGGUGUCUUGGGAGGCCACUAGUGAUUUCAGUACCCAUCUACCUUCAGGAUAAAUUCUUCUUAUCUUCUGUCUGGGAAUUUCCAUUUUGUUUUUUUGAAAUGUGCUUUUAUCAGCACCCAGGUGUUUGGACAAGAAGUGGGUAACUAUGUAAGUUAGGUCUGCCAUGGUGAUUGGAAAUCUGCAAUUUUCCUAGGGAACUGACUGACUGUGGUGCCGGAGACUGAACCCAAGAUCUCAUAUAAGCAAGAUAAGAGCUCUACCAGACUGCAUAUCCAGCCCUCCCUAGGCAAGUAUGACAAGACAAAGACAAAGAAACCAUAAUUUGAAUUACCAUCCCCCAUCUUGUCUUUGACUUUCCUAUUCAACAACAUACAUUUCUCCCAUGGGCCUGCAUUUUACCUCUCACUCCCCAGUGUUUAGCACAGGGCCAGGCACAUGGACACCAACAAUGUUUGUUCAAAAGUAUCUUAUGUAGCAAUCAAUUCUGGAAAGACCAGUCAAGAUGAGUGGGUGAGGAAGCCCAGAUGAAUCUCUCAUGAGUAAGGAAUGGAAUGAUUACACAGAAUGGGGCAAGAAUAGCUCAGCAGAUCUACACUUCAUUAACAGGUUCAACUUGGCAUUCCCAGAACUGUUAAACGGAGCAGGGUCCUCUAUCUCCAGCUCUGGCAGCAAAUGUCUAUCUACAACUGAGACUAACUCAUAAUGUGGAGUCAGGGAGCCACUUACCAGCCACUUUUUUCCUUUUUCUCAUUACAGAAGCCAAGACAACUCUGUCAAAGUAGGUGAUGCAAGAGUGCUGCUCGCUCAGAAACACUCAAUCCCCUCAGGAACUUCUCUGAGAAAUGGAUUGGACGUCCUAUAGACUACGAACCAUUUCAGAGGAAGGAGGAAGGAUUACUCUGUUUUUCUAUAUCCCUCAGUCCAGUAUACCUACUGACAGAGUUGCUGAUUGAACUUCAGUUGCUUGAUCAUUAAAGAUGAUUACUGUGCUCAAAGACCAUGAAGUGGAAUUUACUUUCCCUAAAUUCGAAACUAAGUAUGUUUGGAGCUGGUCACCAUUAUAAGAUCCUCAUUUCAGAAGGGGUCCUGUCUUAUCAUCUGAGAGGAAUGCUACAUGAAGAAGUCAAAAAGAAUCUGAACAGACAAACCUUACUGAAUUUCUCUACUUGGUCUAUUAGCAUUAGAUCAGAUCCUUUGUUAAAUCACUUUGCUGCACGACUGUCUGUGCUUCAAUCACACUUACACAAGGAAAUCUCCAUAAAAACCCAAAAGGACAGAGUUUGGAGAGCUUCU